rnacentral:rRNA from 1 species
UACGUGGGGGGCAAGCGUUGUUCGGAAUUACUGGGCUUAAAGGGCUCGUAGGCGGCCAACUAAGUCAGACGUGAAAUCCCCAGGCUCAACCUGGGAACUGCGUCUGAUACUGGAUGGCUUGAGUUCGGGAGAGGGAUGCGGAAUUCCAGGUGUAGCGGUGAAAUGCGUAGAUAUCUGGAGGAACACCGGUGGCGAAGGCGGCAUCCUGGACCGACACUGACGCUGAGGAGCGAAAGCCAGGGGAGCAAACGGG